UACGGAGGGUGCGAGCGUUGUCCGGAAUCACUGGGCGUAAAGGGCGCGUAGGUGGCGCCGCAAGUCAACGGUGAAAGCUCGACGCUUAACGUCGAGUCGGCCGUCGAGACUGCGGGGCUCGAGCACUGUAGAGGCUCAUGGAAUUCCACGUGUAGCAGUGAAAUGCGUAGAGAUGUGGAGGAACACCGAUGGCGAAGGCAGCCCCCUGGGUCAAGAUUGACGCUCAUGCACGAAAGCGUGGGGAGCAAACAGG
rnacentral:rRNA from 1 species